rnacentral:tRNA from 1 species
GAAGCAGUAGUUUAAUGGAAAAACACACAUUGCUAAUGUGAUUUGGAGGUUCGAAUCCUGCCUGCUUCC